rnacentral:rRNA from 1 species
UGACCUCAAAUCAGGUAGGACUACCCGCUGAACUUAAGCAUAUCAAUAAGCGGAGGAAAAGAAACUAACAAGGAUUCCCCUAGUAACUGCGAGUGAAGAGGGAAAAGCUCAAAUUUAAAAU